ensembl:rRNA 5S_rRNA 5S ribosomal RNA
GUCUAUAGCCAUACCAUCCUGAACACACCCUACCUCCUCUGAUCUCUGAUACUAAGCAGGGUCAGGCCUGGUUAGUCUUUGGAUGGGAGAAGGUGGAUAAGUUCUGAGGAUC